rnacentral:misc_RNA from 1 species
UUUUUUCCUUUUAAUUUUUUCAGAAUUCAUUAAGCAGCAGCAACAAAUUGCAAAUAUCUGAGCAGCAAAUUCAACAAUUACGGGGAUAAAUAGGAAUAUAGAAAAUUCUAAAAAUUGUUGUAGUAGAGAUGUAUAGCAACAGAGAGUUUAAAGACAACAUUCUACAAUCAACAGGAGAAGAAUGAACAUGAAACAGCAAAUCACAACUUUGAAGAGAAACAAGAUUUGUACAUCUCCAUGGUCCAGGCAAUUAACACACACCAUCAUUCUCCAGGAGAUGUCUCUUUCUAUUUCAUAUUACAUUUGAUGUCCUCCUGCAGUAAAGGCAAUAUUUAGCAUCAAGAAACCGAUCAAUUUUAUUGAUAGAUAAAAACAUGCAUUAUAAAUUGCAGGUUAACUUUGAACUGCUAUGAUCCAAUGACUAACACUAGUGCUCAGGAUAAGGAAAUUCAGUUCUUUAAUACAAUAGUAUUUUAUGCAAGCAUGGCUUAUUCAUUUGAACGAAGGCAAACUUCCCAGAUUAAUGUUUUUUAAAAUAAAAACUAAAUUGUUGACAAAUUAAUUCUGUAUCCUAAUUAAAAAAAACUAAACAGCAGAAAAAAAUUCAUCCAGACACAGCUUUAAAGCAGCUCUAUUGGGGCCAAAAUAGCAUUUCGAGACUCUGUAGGCCUCAUAAAGACCUCUCCUACUCACUAUGGUAUAUGGCUUGAACAUCCAGACUGCCAAAAGUUAGUGACGCAUAUCUUUUUCUUCUCUUUAUCAGCUAAAUUAUAGUGGCAUAAUAUUACUCAUCAAUUGAUUUCUGAAAUAGACCUAUAUUACAGAAAACCAAAUGAAAUAUAUAUUUUAGGAUAGAAAUUGGAACUGUGGAAUACGCACAUUUGACAACUUUGAGCUGAAAGUUGAAUCUGUUGAAAUGAAAUUCUGACAAUGAUGCAAGUUGCUCACACCAAUCAUUCAUUCAGAGAGUGUGCUUCCAAAAGAUCCUAUUCCUUAGUUAGCAUAAACAUUCAACCUCACCCGAGCAGUAACUUCAGGAUGAAGCUUAAGCUCAGCAAUAUAUUCUCCUGUUUCCCUGAUUUCUGGAAGAGAAACAAUUCGUUUGUCCACGUCCCUAGCAUCAAUAAAAAUCAUAGAGCAACCAAAUAGAUAAGCACAGGCAUGAAAGAUACAUGCAUAUGUGCAUAAUUGUGCUUGUGAAAACAAUUUACUUGUCCACAUCCAUUAGAAUCAAAGCAAUUAGAUAAGUACAUAUAUCGAAGACAAAAUAUGCAUAGGCACAGUUGUGUCUCUUACCUGUCAACAUAUUUAGGGCUAAGAAGCCUAUAUUUGUAUUUUCCAACCGAUAAACUAUAAUCCGUAUCCCACUAGAGGUUCACAAAGUUAUAGACUGCUCAAUGCAUGGCCUAAAACAUGAAAAGUAGGUGAAAAGAAAACAUCCUAUAACUCAUCUCUAUAUUACUAAUAGAUGAGGUCAGAUGGCAUACAUUUGAAGGUUCCUAGAAAGAGGCCAACGAGUCUGUUAGAGUGAUACACAUACAUGUGCAACAGUCCAAUCACACAAUGAAAAAAAAAUAGGCCAGAGUGGUUUAGAAUAUAAAUACCUAAGUAGGCUAUACAUUACAUAGGUUAAACUUUUGGGUCAGGUGAACUUUUUUGGGUUGGGUGGAGCAAUCUAUUAGCAGUGCCAGUGAACUUCAAAUACACAUAGAGUUGCCACUUGCCCAUCAAAAAAGAUACUAUGAAGGCUUCAGCAUCGAGGUAUCAUUAGCUGAAAAAGACCCUGUUAGGCCUACUCCAACUUGGGGGUUUGGACCCAGGGCAAGGGGGAGUAAAAUGUGAAACAUUAGGCUUAUAGUUUGUGUUUGUAUCCACAAUAGCCAUCUGAUAAGUAAAUUGCAAGUAAUUAGAGGUUCUUUGGAAUUACAUAGAGAAUUUAGAAUAACAUGGAGUACAAGGAAUGAAGGAGUAAAGGUGGAAAAUUACUUCUUGCUAAGGUAAGGGUUUCUAGAGUUAUGUAAUAAAAUUCCAGAGCAUACUAGCAUACUUCACAGUACUAAGAUAAUGAAAGGUACUGCAUGGUAAGCCUAAAUAUAUAGGAGAACGGUACCUCUGAAGCUGUGCCUUGAUGAUGUUGACAAGAUCUUGAGAGGUUACACUUCCAAAUAUUUGUUUUCCCUUUCCACCUUUGCGCUUCACCUUGAAAGCUCCAACAGUUUCAAAAAUAAGAGCAAGCUGCUGUGCCUCUUCUUUUACCCGCUUUUUCUCAGCUUCAAUUCUUUCCUCUUCCAUCCGCAUUUCCCUGUAAAGUAAGCCAGAGAAAGCAAUUAAACCAUGACAUUAGCAUUUAACAUGACAAAUAUCUACCAUAAAAUCAGAAUUGCCUGAUGAGUUUUAGGCUUAUAGCAUAUACUUCAGCUGACAAAGAACAAAAACCAGACAACAAAUUCCAAAUAAAUACUUCUGCAUUUUGACGGCAUAAGAGCAGUGAGGCUCAAACAACAUCAUUUUAAAAAGCACCCUCUUAGUGUCAAGUUUUCUAUGCCUCCUCUUUGUAUCAGUAACAUCGUAAGCUUCUUGGUAAUCACCGUCUGCCUAGCAUGUCUAGAAGCAAAGACAGAUAGCUUCUUGUUUAGUCUAUCCCCAUGGAUUAGCUCCACCCAUUUUCGGCAGCAAAUUCAAGCUUAAAAUAUUGCUUACAAUUUGCAUUGACAUUCUGAGUUUCUGACAUAUGCAUAAACCAACUAAUGUAUUACAUCUUCAUUCCAUUUUGCAUUCCUCAACAUGCAUACAUCUUUUUAACCCAACAUCAAUUAUUACACCCGAGAAAGUGAGAACUUUUGUAUGUGAAAAAGGAAAUCCUUGAAGUUGAAAUAUGCAUCAC